UGGGGAAUCAUGGUCAAUGGGCGAAAGCCUGAACCUGCGACGCCGCGUGAGUGAUGAAGGUCGUAAGAUCGUAAAACUCUUUUCAGGGAUCUUAAAGCCUGUCUGUCAACAACAGGCAGGUCUGACUCUCCCUGGAAGAAGCCCCAGCCAACUACGUGCCAGCAGCUGCGGUAAUACGUAGGGGGCGAGCGUUAUUCGGAAUUACUGGGUGUAAAGGGUAUGUAGGCGGCCCUUCAAGUCGCGUGUCAAAGUCCAGUGCUCAACGCUGGGUGUGCGCGCGAUACUGACGGGCUUGAGUGCUGGAGAGGUGAGCGGAAUUCCCGGUGUAGUGGUAAAAUACGUAGAGAUCGGGAGGAACAACAGCGGCGCAGGCGGCUAACUAGACAGUUUCUGCCGCUAAGAUACGAAAGCGUGGGGAGCAAACA
rnacentral:rRNA from 1 species